rnacentral:rRNA from 1 species
GACGAACGCUGGCGGCGUGCCUAAUACAUGCAAGUAGAACGCAGUUGCGAACGGGAGAGUAACGCGUAGGUAACUGCCUCAUAGCGGGGGAUAACUAUUGGAAACGAUAGCCAAUACCGCAUACUGUGAGAUGGACCUGCGUUGUAUUAGCUAGUUGGUGAGGUAAAGGCUCACCAAGGCGACGAUACAUAGCCGAACUGAGAGGUUGCGCGGCCACCCGGGGAGUGGGACAGGGCCCAGAGUCCUAGGGGAGGCAGCAGUAAUGAGUCUUCAGGAAUGGACGGAAGUCUGAGCGGGCUACGCCGCGUGAGUGAGGAGGGUUUUCGGGUCGUGAAGCUCUGUUGUUAGAGAAGCGGUAACUAAACAGAAAGGGACGGCUAACUACGUGCCAGCAGCCGCGGUAAUAC